GGCCUGCACAGUGCGGGGGGGCGGGGGAGGUGGCCGCCCAGGGUCCCGGAGUUAGACAUGGCGGAACUGGGGUGCCGACCCGCUGGGAAUGACUCCCAAGCGUGUGUUUUGUGUUUUCCUUCCGUGCCCACCCAGCUCUGCGGGGCUGGAUGCCAGGCUCUGGGCGCUGGAGCCCUGGGGGGGGUGGCGUGGGGGGGCAGCCCUGCUCUGCCAAGGAGCUCCCCAGGGAGCCUUUGCCUGUUAGACUCAAGUUCGCAGGGUGCAGGGAACAGUGAUGGGAACAGAAGAGCUGAGCAGACCCCGGCCCGGCUGGGGGCUGAGACUAAGAACUCCUCCCAGGCCGAUUGUGCCCUGUUGGCUGGGGUGGGUGGAGUUAUUAGGUCGUCUUCCCCAUCCUGGGAGGAGAGGCCCUUAAUACACCCAUUUGACAGAGAGAAAAAUAAAGCUUUUCUGUGCCGCCUGUGUGAGAAGUAGGUCCCGCCGCAGGAUCAGGAGAUCCUGGUAAGAGCAGCUUAACCAAGAGGCUUUACUCUUUUGUGCAUCGAGGGAGACCAGAGCCGGGCCGCCCAGGUCCACGGAAAGCUUCCGGCCCCUCCGGCCCCGGGGCUCCGCCGUUCCCGGGGUCCGGGAUGCCACUGCUGUGGCAGGGCCGCUGGGGGUUGGCCCGCGUGCUUCUGCGUCCAUCCGAACUGUCGGGACCCAUAGCUCUUAGCUUCGAGGAGGUGGGGGGCGGGGGCAGCGAGGCACGGUUUGUGCAGCCGAUGCGUUGUUUCGGCCGGAGACCGGGGGCUUAUCGAUGCCGGUCAGGGUUUGAACCCAGAACAGCCCAGCCUCUUAGCCAGCCACUCGGUGGUCCUGCGGGGGUGCACGGAGGGGGGCACGGUGCAGUCGGGAAGUCAUGUGGCACGUGGGCGCCGGCCGGGGGUCCUGGUGUUGCGGGAAGGUCUGCCUUUGUUUUUCUUGGGGUAGGACGGCCAGGGGCAGUGUCCUUCCCUGGACGUGCUGCUCGGAGCCCUGGAGACCCUGCCUGGGGACUAAGAGCUUGCCGGCCCCCCCUCCUUCCAGCCCCCUGGUGUGCGCCCCAUUCCCACACGGCCCCUCCUAACACCUCUGGGCGUCCUGCUGCACAGGCUGGAAACCCCACCCCACCCGGCCCCUGUCCCCUCCUUGUGCUCCGACACGUCGCACACGUGGAAAACAUUCCUGCCCUGACAGGUGGCCUCUCUGGAGCCUCCUGUCCCCUGAGCAGAUCGAUGGCUCCAUGCUGCCUUCCUGGCAGGGCUGUCCCCCAGAUGAACCCGCCGAGACCUCGCUCUCGGGGCGGCGGGGGCGACGGGCGCAAACCCAGAGGGGCCUGGCUGCGGGCUGGCGCACGUCCCCCCACCAAGUCCAGGGGCUGGGGGCAAAGGUCAGCAGGCGGCCUGGGGCUGGCCUUGAACUUCCUUCCAGCUGCUGGGGCACAGUGCUGGCUGGGGGGUGGGGGGGCGGGGGGAGGGCUCUCACUCUCAUCCGCUUUGGAUUCUUACCUGCUUGCGACACCACAUUUCACUCUUCAGUCGCUCCCAGGGUCGCAGCCUCCUGGGCUCAAGGUCCACACCCUUCCCCUUUCACAGGCAGACGUGAAUGCUUAGUGAGGUCAGGUGCAUCGCCCAAGGUCUUUCACCUAGAGCUUGCGAAGGCCCCACGUGUCCUCAGGCUAAGUGCAGAAGGUCUGAGGAGCCUGGGCUCCCCUGGGGCGCUGGAAGGAUCUGUGGCGUCCUAGUGCUCAGAGGUUCUAGGUGGUUCUGGGUUGGGUAGAGGGCUCCUGAGAAAGAUCCAGGAAGGGCCAGGACAGCCCAUCUAUCUGCUCGACGAACCAUCCUGCUCCCGGGGGCCACGCGCCAUGAGGUGGAAAGGUGGCACCUGUCACCCACCUGGCAGCGGGCACCCACCAGGCCACCUGGGCUCCACCUGGGGAGGUGGGGUCACGGAGUUGGGGGCUAGGGAUGGAGAACAGCCCCCAGAGCUGUGCGGCCGAGUCCCCGGGGCCAGCACCGGGGACACCCGGCUCCCAAGAGGGCGGCCCCGCCACGCUCUGCGGCUGCCGGAAGGGUCCAGUGGGGCUGGGCUCAGGACAGUGGCGGCUGCUUUGGGCUGGCCGAGUGGGGACAGCGUCACUUCUGCCUGGGUGGUGUCUCCAGAGCCUCAGGGAAGGGAGGGAGGCCUCACAGCAGCUUCUGGAAUUCGGUCUUGCAAUCCCGAGUCUUCACCCCCACCUCCGCUUGCCCUCUGCCUGGCGUCUUCUGCUUGUUUUCCGAAAACCGGGUUAAGAGUGGGUCCCGGCCCACCUGGCGUCCCUGCGGUGUGACCUUGGGCAGGCGGCUUCAGUGCUGAGCCUGGACUCCCUCCUCCGUGGGGUGGAUGUCCCGGGCGUGCCCACCUCGCGGGGCUACUGUCUGAGCCCAACGUGAGGGUUCCGUGCGAGGCGUGGGGGAGGGGCGUGCCCACCCGCCACGGCUCUCCGGGGGUGGGGGUGGGGGAGCCCCGCUUUCUGUCCCUGGAGGCGCGCGGGGGGCACCGGAAGCGUCCUCGCUUUGCUUCCUUCACGUUGAGAAACUCUUAAAACGUUCACCUCGCUCACGCUUUUACGGAAGACCUUGCAGCGACGUGACGUCAGGAGAGGGAGAGGUGGGGGCGCGCCGCCUCCAGAGACUAUGCAGUGUCCCCGGGGACGCACCGGUGCCUCCUCCAAUCCCAGCAUGCACCUUGCUUCGGCAGCCUGCCCGGGUCACAGCAGCUGCCGAGUGUCGUGGUGUGUGUGUGUGUGUGUGUGCGCGCGUGUGUGCGCGCGCGCGCGCGCGCGCCCAGCACGCUGCCUGAGGUCCGCACACGGUAUUCCCCGCAGUUCUGGAAAAACCAGUCCGCACCCAAUGCCUUCCAGUAGAUACAAAGAGAAAUCCUGACAGAAAGGGGAGAGAAGUCCUGGAGACAGGCAGACGCACCGGGGACGGCCACAUCUCAGUGGGGGUGUGUCGGUGCUACCGAGCUGGACGUUUAAGAACGACUAAGCAUCAUCAGUUGGUUUGUCCGGACCUUCAAGUACGUAUUCGGCCUUCGCUUUGACAUAAAGGGCCGCCAGAAGC